UAGUCAUAUGCUUGUCUCAAAGAUUAAGCCAUGCAUGUCUAAGUACAAGCCUAACUAAGGUGAAACCGCGAAUGGCUCAUUAAAUCACACCUAAUCUACUGGAUAGUUAACAGUUACUUGGAUAACUGCGGUAAUUCUGGAGCUAAUACAUGCACAAAGCCCCGAACUUACGUGAGGGGCGCUUUUAUUAGAUCAAAACCAAACGGCUUCGGCCGUAUCCUUGGUGACUCUGAAUAACUUUGGGCUGAUCGCAUGGCCUAGCGCCGGCGACAUAUCCUUCGAAGGUGUGCCCUAUCAACUGUCGACUGUGGCAUAGACGCCCACAGUGGUUUUGACGGGUAACGGGGAAUCAGGGUUCGAUUCCGGAGAGGGAGCCUUAAAAACGGCUACCACAUCUAAGGAAGGCAGCAGGCACGCAAAUUACCCAAUGACCGAAGGUCGAGGUAGUGACAAAAAAUAACGAUACGGGACUCAUCUGAGGCCCCCGUAAUCGGAAUGAAUACACCUUUAAAACGUCCCCGAGGAUCUAUU
rnacentral:rRNA from 1 species